UACAGAGGAUGCAAGCGUUAUCCGGAAUGAUUGGGCGUAAAGCGUCUGUAGGUGGCUUUUUAAGUCCGCCGUCAAAUCCCAGGGCUCAACUCUGGACAGGCGGUGGAAACUACCAAGCUGGAGUACGGUAGGGGCAGAGGGAAUUUCCGGUGGAGCGGUGAAAUUCGUAGAUAUUCGGAAGAACACCAGUGGCGAAGGCGACUUACUGGACACGUAUUGACGCUGAGGUGCGAAAGCGUGGGGAGCAAACAGG
rnacentral:rRNA from 1 species